UGUGUCGACAUCACAUGAUCAUUUCACAGGCUUUAUCGUGAAUACAUCCAAUGUCAGCGCCGAAAGAGUCUCCGCGCCAGUGUCACGUGAUCAUUUUGCUGGCUGUAUCGUGAAGUGCUUUCUGUGAGAGGUACAAUACAACCUCCUCCGCCAUCAAAUCAUCUUUACAAUUUUUCAAAUGCAAUUUUCUGUAAUGCGAUACUGCACAGGAACGCAACUACUGCAUUAUAGCAGAAUGAUCUGUAUCAAAUGCACAGCCUGCAAGCUGAAUCUGGCUGACAGAAACUGCGUACAAUUCUCUACUCCAGCAUCCUGCAACCUCUGUAUAGUGAAUCGUCUCCAGACACUCCAUGGUGUGGAUGGAACAGGGAAAGAGUCAGUCAGAUUUGAUGAAUCCUUCCUCACAGGUCUGGAUCUGUUCAUUCCAAGAACAGAGCUAAGAGGAGAACUUCCCAUCUGCUCAUCCCUAUCUAUGCCCAAUGGCCAAAGACUGCAAAUGUGUGGCUGCAGUGCAAACAUAAAUUAAGGAUCAACCCCUUCAGCAUGGCAACCAUGAAGAUUGUUGGUGUGACCCCAUGGAUGAUUUGAACCCAGCUCAUCAUAACAUUGACCAAAGGCCACAGAACAUUGUGGAGGAUCAGAGGCAAGGGGGAUAAGAAUACACACCUGGACACUACACCUCAGUGAAGACUCAAACUUGCCUAGCAGUGGAGCCCCAAGCAUCUGGAGAAAGAGAGAGAGAGAGAGUAAGAGAAGAUCUGCCCUGACUUGUGAGACCCCCCUUCGUGGAAGAGAGCCAGCCCUACAUCAGAGAGGAAAAAGGCUCCAAUGACCCAACAUGAAUAAGUGGAUUGUUGAGGGUAAUACUCUUUCUCAGACGGAUAGAGCUAGAUAGAAAGUAAACGUUCUGGGAAUUUGGAAAAUUAUUACAUGGUGUUUUUAAGAAGGAAUAUUUUGCUAAUA